rnacentral:rRNA from 1 species
AGAGUUUGAUCCUGGCUCAGAUUGAACGCUGGCGGCACGCUUUACACAUGCAAGUCGAGCGGCAGCGCGAGGGUGCUUGCACCCUUGGCGGCGAGCGGCGGACGGGUGAGUAACGCAUGGGAAUAUGCCCGACAGUGGGGGAUAACCUUGGGAAACCAGGGCUAAUACCGCAUACACUCCACGGAGAAAAGCGGGGGAUCUUCGGACCUCGCGCUGACGGAGUAGCCCAUGUCCGAUUAGCUUGUUGGCGGGGUAACGGCCCACCAAGGCGACGAUCGGUAGCUGGUCUGAGAGGAUGAUCAGCCACACCGGGACUGAGACACGGCCCGGACUCCUACGGGAGGCAGCAGUGGGGAAUCUUGGACAAUGGGCGCAAGCCUGAUCCAGCCAUGCCGCGUGAGUGAAGAAGGCCUUCGGGUUGUAAAGCUCUUUCAGCGGAGAAGAUGAUGACGGUAUCCGCAGAAGAAGCCCCGGCUAACUUCGUGCCAGCAGCCGCGGUAAUACGAAGGGGGCUAGCGUUGUUCGGAAUUACUGGGCGUAAAGGGCGCGUAGGUGGCGUUGCAAGCGGGUGGUGAAAUCCCUGGGCUCAACCCAGGAACUGCCAUCCGAACUGUGGUGCUAGAGUUCGGAAGAGGAUAACGGAAUUCCCAGUGGAGAGGUGGAAUUCGUAGAGAUUGGGAAGAACACCAGAAGCGAAGGCGGUUAUCUGGUCCGAAACUGACACUGAGGCGCGAAAGCGUGGGUAGCGAACAGGAUUAGAUACCCUGGUAGUCCACGCCGUAAACGAUGUGUGCCAGCCUUGGGAGAACGCAGUUCUUCUGGGGCGCAGCUAACGCGUUAAGCACACCGCCUGGGGAGUACGGUCGCAAGGCUAAAACUCAAAGGAAUUGACGGGGGCCCGCACAAGCGGUGGAGCAUGUGGUUUAAUUCGAUGCUACGCGAAAAACCUUACCAGCUUUUGAAGUACUAAGCUUUGGAGACAAGAGAUUGCUCCUUCAGUUCGGCUGGGCUUAGAACAGGUGCUGCAUGGCUGUCGUCAGCUCGUGUCGUGAGAUGUUGGGUUAAGUCCCGCAACGAGCGCAACCCUUGUCCUUAGUUGCCAGCAUUCAGUUGGGCACUCUAGGGAGACUGUCGGCGUCAAGCCGGAGGAAGGCGGGGAUGACGUCAAGUCCUCAUGGCCUUUAUGGGCUGGGCUACACACGUGCUACAAUGGUGGUCACAACGGGA